UCGGUACGUACUGGUGUUACUGAUUCCUACCUUCUGACGAACCAUCAUGUCAUUAAUUUGGUGUGGCGGGGAAUCAGGACUGUUACUUUGAAAAAAUUAGAGUGUUUAAAGCAGGCUCGCGCUUGAAUACAUUAGCAUGGAAUAAUGAAAUAGGACGUUGAUCCUAUUUUGUUGGUUUCUAGGAUUGACGUAAUGAUUAAUAGGGAUAGUUGGGGGCAUUAGUAUUCAAUUGUCAGAGGUGAAAUUCUUGGAUUUAUUGAAGACUAACUACUGCGAAAGCAUUUGCCAAGGAUGUUUUCAUUAAUCAAGAACGAAAGUUAGGGGAUCGAAGACGAUCAGAUACCGUCGUAGUCUUAACCAUAAACUAUGCCGACUAGGGAUCGGAUGAUGUUAUUUUUAAUGACUCAUUCGGCGCCUUACG
rnacentral:rRNA from 1 species